rnacentral:rRNA from 1 species
GGGCGCAAGCCUGAUCCAGCCUGCCGCGUGAGUGAUGAAGGCCUUAGGGUCGUAAAGCUCUUUCGCCAGGGAUGAUAAUGACAGUACCUGGUAAAGAAACCCCGGCUAACUCCGUGCCAGCAGCCGCGGUAAUACGGAGGGGGUUAGCGUUGUUCGGAAUUACUGGGCGUAAAGCGYACGUAGGCGGGUUGUWAAGUUAGAGGUGAAAUCCCAGGGCUCAACCCUGGAACUGCCUUUAAUACUGGCAACCUAGAGUUCGAGAGAGGUGAGUGGAAUUCCGAGUGUAKAGGUGAAAUUCGUAGAUAUUCGGAGGAACACCAGUGGCGAAGGCGGCUCACUGGCUCGAUACUGACGCUGAGGUACGAAAGUGUGGGGAGCAAACAGGAUUAGAUACCCUGGUAGUCCACACCGUAAACKAUGAAUGCCAGWCGUCGGGUAGCAUGCUAUUCGGUGACACACCUAACGGAUUAAGCAUUCCGCCUGGGGAGUACGGUCGCAAGAUUAAAACUCAAA